rnacentral:rRNA from 1 species
CGGGGAUAAACCCGGGAAACUGGGUAUAAUACCCGAUAGAUCUCGGCUGCUGGAAUGCAUCGAGCUCUAAAGCUCCGGCGCCUAAGGAUGGGUCUGCGGCCUAUCAGGUAGUAGUGGGUGUAGCGUACCUACUAGCCUACGACGGGUACGGGUUGUGAGAGCAAGAGCCCGGAGAUGGAUUCUGAGACACGAAUCCAGGCCCUACGGGGUGCAGCAGGCGCGAAAACUUUACAAUGCUGGAAACAGCGAUAAGGGGACCUCGAGUGCCAGGUUACAAAUCUGGCUGUCGUGAUGCCUAAAAAGCAUUGCAUAGCAAGGGCCGGGCAAGACCGGUGCCAGCCGCCGCGGUAACACCGGCGGCUCGAGUGGUAACCGUUAUUAUUGGGUCUAAAGGGUCUGUAGCCGGCCGGAUAAGUCUCUUGGGAAAUCCAGCAGCUUAACUGUUGGGCUUUCAGGAGAUACUGUCUGGCUCGAGGCCGGGAGAGGUGAGAGGUACUUCAGGGGUAGGGGUGAAAUCUUGUAAUCCUUGAAGGACCACCAGUGGCGAAGGCGUCUCACCAGAACGGACCUGACGGCAAGGGACGAAAGCUAGGGGCACGAACCGGAUUAGAUACCCGGGUAGUCCUAGCCGUAAACGAUACUCGCUAGGUGUCGGCCAC